GUUACAUAUUUGGGUAAGGUUUCCACAACAGGGAUGCAAUUUUUGUCAGGCUGCACAGAAAAACCAGUCAUUGAAUUGUGGAAGAAGCACACGCUCACCAGGGAGGAUGUUUACCCAGCUAAUGCCCUUCUGGAAAUUCGCCCUUUCCAAGUCUGGCUGCAUCAUCUGGACCUCAAAGGCGAGGCGACAGUGCACAUGGAUACCUUUCAGGUGGCACGUAUAGCCUACUGCACUGCUGACCACAACGUCAGCCCAAACAUCUUCGCCUGGGUCUAUCGGGAGAUCAACGAUGACCUGUCCUACCAGAUGGACUGCCACGCUGUGGAGUGUGAGAGCAAGCUGGAGGCCAAGAAGCUGGCCCACGCCAUGAUGGAGGCCUUUAAGAAGACUUUUCACAGCAUGAAAAGCGAUGGCCGGAUCCACAGGAACAGCUCAUCGGAGGAAGUGUCUCAUGAAUUUGAAUCUGAUGAUGGCUGACUGAAGUCAUUCACAGUUCAGCAAAGGCAGAAAUGGCUUAGGGAAUGAGAGCUGGUAGAUGAAUAAGCAACAAUUGAAACUGGGUAAUGAAAGGACUGCCAAACAUUUGUCUGACCACCUUUUUAAAUCAGAAGAGCAAUUUGGUACCUACAGAUAUGCAUUAUUAAAGUAAUUACAUUGCAUUGAAAUCUGCUGCUGUUGUAAAAGUGAGAAGAAGAUUUCCCUCCCCCACCUCUGUCACUCUCUCAUCACUGUCCCUUUCUUGUCUUUGUAGUUCAGGUGCAUACCAUGAAGUGCAGUCAUUCCUGUUUGUCUUGUGAGACUGGUCAGGCAAUUUUAUUAGUUGCUUCUCUGGCAUUCCUAGCUGCAGGCUGAUGCUGAUGCACAAGAGCAAGUAGGCCUGGAAAGCCCUAAUGGUUCCUGAAGAAUCUUUCCCCAUGAUGCAUCACACAGAUCCUUUGACCAUCCAUAGGCUAAGACAGCCAUACGCAGCCUUUUAGACUAAUGGCCUGGCAUUCUGCAGUUAAUUCACAUUUCACAGAUAAAAAAUGAAAGAUGCUUGUAUGUACACAUUAUAUCAUAUGCUAUCCUUUAUUUUAUUCAUUGUACCUAUUUUCUUAAUGUACUGGCUGCCACGUCUUUCACCCAACACCAGUAGUUGCAGUUUCAGACUAUGUACUGCAGGAUACCAAAAAGGGGUGGGCAGAAAUACUCCCUGGUGGCUGGGGGUUCAGCAAGUCAGCCCUGCUGUCUGUGCAUUAUCCUGCCCUGAUGUGCUCCACAGGAGGGGGCCCGCUGGGAAGAGCUGAGGGACGCUUGGGUGUGUCAGUGUUAGAGCUGUGACUUCUCAUCAGCCUCAGGUGUGACGAGAUCCGAGCACGGUGGGCACAGCUCUGUGUCCCCCUUUCCGCAUUGCUGGGUGAGCGGCCCUGGUGGGAUGGAGCUGGCAGUGUCUCACCACACAGGGCUGCCUCACUGGAAAGAUCUAAGGAAAUGGUCCCUUAGGAGUCAGGUUUGAACAGCUGUUCUGGUUGAGAACCUCAUGUUAAGAUUCCCAUAUCUUUCCUUUUUCACAGAUAUACAGUCAUGCCUUUCUUAAAUGCAGAUGUUUAAUAAAACUCAAAUAAAGGAAAAACUUGUUUCACUUGAUAUUUUUUAAGGCUGAGAGCAGAUCAAUAGUUUGCAAGUAAUGCUGCUCCUUUGUACAAUUUUGUUUGUAAUUAUGGUAAUGUUAGGGGCACUAGGGCACCUUACAGAAGCCUUAAAAGAAAGCUAAUCCAAGCAGAUUUAGCUCUGUGUCUGUGUUUUGUGUCUCUGUGUUUGUAUGUGAGAGUGUAUGUGUGAGUCCAGUGGUAAAGCAUGUAGAUUGAGCAUGGAGAUGUAUUGAGGAGGGCCCACACCUCUUGAAAAUAUGCUUGUUGCUUUACAAUGUAUGUAAACUGUUCUCCAGCAUAAAUGCAUUCAUACUUUAAUAAAAAAAAGUUUUGAGUUAAA